UUCUACUGCCAGACCACCCUGAACGCUCCAGAUCUCGUCUGAUCUCGGAAGCUAAGCAGGGUCGGGCCUGGUUAGUACUUGGAUGGGAGAAGCCCUAGGCAUGACUAGAAC
ensembl:rRNA 5S_rRNA 5S ribosomal RNA